rnacentral:rRNA from 1 species
CAGCAGUGAGGAAUAUUGGUCAAUGGGCGAGAGCCUGAACCAGCCAAGUAGCGUGCAGGAAGACGGCCCUAUGGGUUGUAAACUGCUUUUAUAAGGGAAUAAAGUGAGAGUCGUGACUCUUUUUGCAUGUACCUUAUGAAUAAGGACCGGCUAAUUCCGUGCCAGCAGCCGCGGUAAUACGGAAGGUCCGGGCGUUAUCCGGAUUUAUUGGGUUUAAAGGGAGCGUAGGCCGGAGAUUAAGCGUGUUGUGAAAUGUAGACGCUCAACGUCUGCACUGCAGCGCGAACUGGUUUCCUUGAGUACGCACAAAGUGGGCGGAAUUCGUGGUGUAGCGGUGAAAUGCUUAGAUAUCACGAAGAACUCCGAUUGCGAAGGCAGCUCACUGGAGCGCAACUGACGCUGAAGCUCGAAAGUGCGGGUAUCGAACAGGAUUAGA